GAUUAUGACAUGUACCUAGUUUCGGAUCAAAGCAUGCUGAUCAAGCUUAUAUUGGGAUACAGUGAAUAGGAGAUAUUUCACCUGUCACCACUUUGUUUACAUCAAAAGGGGGAAUCUUGAUAAAUCACUAAAAUCGGCAUCCUGGUGAUUUGACUCUUCUUCCAUUGUCCUGCCCACAAGAAGGAUUGUGACAUCUUACUGGACCAGCACCCACCUAGAGAGACCGGGUUUCACCAUGGUGCCUAGGCUGGUCUCAAACUUCUGGGCUCAAGCGAUGCGUCUUCCUAGGCCUCCCAAAGUGCUGGGAUUAUAGGCAUGAGCCACCACGCCUGGCCAGAAUCCAAUCAUUAGUGUCUUUGGGUGAUUUGGAAAAUGACAGUCUGCUUAUGAAGUACGUUUGAAGACAGCAAAAACAGAGCUCCCUGGAUCCUCAACAGUAAGGCUGACCUCCCUGUGUGACCUGCCCACCCAACUCCUGGAGCUGUACCAACAGGGCUUCUCUCUGGCAGCCAUGCACCCCUUUGUGCAGCCCACCCAUGGACAGGAGAAGACACCCCUGGAGCAUAUCUUUAGGGCCAUCCUCAUCAAGAAAACCGACAGAUCUGCAACUUGGGCAGGACUUGGCAGAGGCACCUAAUCUCCAUUUCUCAUGGUAUCAACUGGUAGUUUGGUGGUAGCUAGGGGAUCUGCUUUCAAGAUGAAACACUCACAUGGCUGGCAAGUUGGUGUUUACUGUAGGCCUCUCCACAGACUGCUAUUCCUCAAAACAUGGCAACUGAGUUCUAAGAGCAAACAUCACAAGAGAAGAAGGGAAAAGUUCAUGGAAUGUUGAUGACUAUCCUGUGGAAGUCACAUAAUGGUCUUUUUCAGCUACUCAUUGGUUGAGGCCAUCAUAAAGACCUAUAGUGGUUCAAGUAGAGGGGACAUGGGUUCCAACUCUUGAUGGAGGAAUGGCAAAGUUCUAGCAGACCAUGUGGAACAAGAGAUAUUGUUGUGGCCAUCUUUGGAAAAUAAAGUCUGCCACAUACAUGAA
rnacentral:lncRNA from 1 species